AUCCCCAUAUCAUCUAAUACAAUGUUUGUGACACAUGUUCACCCGGGGGCCACAUUUAUGACUAAAAAUGGAGAUAUACUUGCUUUUCAACACCACCAUUUAAAAAUGAAUGCUCAUCAAUCAUCAACAGUGUAAUUGCUGGGGUGUAACCAUGUGACCUAGAGGCUUUCCUCCUAACCUCACGUGGUCAAAUGAAGGCAAACAUUCAAUAUGGUGACUGUUUAUUUACCUUUAGCAGCACAUAUGUCAGCAUAUUUCAAAGGUUUAGUGGUGAAGAUUAGGGAUGUAUACCAAGUACCAUUUUUUUUUUUCAGAACUGGUUCCUAAUUAUGUCUUUCAUGAGGACCCUGAAUAUUCUGGACAAACGACACAACUAUUUGUAUUUUUAAUUUCAGGCGACUGAAGUAACUAUGACACGUUGUCACAUUGAGUUCAGCUGCCGCUGCUACACAUUACAAUCAGCUUUGAAUAAUGACAAAUAAGGAAGCAACAAAAGUUUGAUGUGUGUGUUAUUGACAAGAAGAUGACAUAACUGCAUUUCACCUUGCACUGCACACAUACAGUAGUUGACUUCUUUAAGACUUCAAAUAAACAGCUGUUAAUAAAAGACUUCCCUGCUCUGAGAUGUUACAGAACCUCAUGUUGGAGGUCUUCAACCUCUUGUGCUAAAAGGAAUGCUAUUUAAAAGGCCUUUUUUCCACUUUUUUUAUUUUCACAAAUUACAUGUAGUACCGAUAAAUAUUGGUAUCGGUAAGGAGUAUCGAUUAGGGUAUCAUAUUGAUAAAUUCUUAACGAUUCAUAUCACUACUGAAGAUACAAGCCAGAUAUCUUUAAAAAAACAUUUCAACAUUUAUUCGGAUUUAGUUACUUCUCUGCUGCCCAGCAAUGUCUCAAUCAAUCUAGUUUAUUAGUACUAAUUAGCAAAGUUUUGUUGUCUUUCUAGAGUAUCUCUUUUGACAGCCCCCUCACGGUAAAGUUGUCCGAGUGCAAACUAUUACAAUCAAUCGAUCAAUGUUUAUUUAUAUAGCCCUAAAUCACAAGUGACUCAAAGGACUGCACAAGCCACAUCGACAUCCCUGGUUCAGAGACCACAUAAGGGCGAGGAAAAACUCACAACCCGGUGGGAUAUCAAUAUGAAUGACUAUAAGAAACCCUGGAGAGGACCGCAGAUGUGGGUAACCCCCCCCCCCCCCACCCCGCCCCCCCUCUAGAGGAAACCGGAUGCAAUGGGCGUCGAGUCGAUCUAGCAUAAUAUUGUGAAAGUCUAGUCCAUAGUGGAUCUAACAUAAUAGUAAGAGUCCAGUCCAUUGUGGGGCCAGCAGGAGACCAUCCCGAGGGAGCCAGGUCAGAAUCGCAGAGAUGUCCCCAACCGAUGCACAGGCGAGCGGUCCGGGGCCCGACUGUGGACAGCCAGCACUUCAUCCAUGGCCACCAGACCUGUGCCCCCAAUUCCACAAGGGAGAAGGGGGCAGAAAAGAAAAGAAACGGCAAAUCAACUGGUCUGACAGCAGCGUCUAUUUAAAGGCUAGAGUAUACAAAUUAGUUUUUAAGAUGGGACUUAAAUGCUUCUACUGAGGUAGCAUCUCUAACUGUUACUAGGACGGCGUUCCAUAGUACUGGAGUCCCAAAAGAAAACGCUCUAGAGCCCGCAGACUUGUUUUGGGCUCUGGGAAUAACUAAUAAGCCGGAGUUCUUUGAACGCAGAUUUAUUGGCGGGACAUAUGGUUCAAUACAAUCAGCAAGAUAGGAUGGAGCUAGAUCGUGUAGUAUUUUAUACAUAAGUAUUUAAACCUUAAAGGGGAACAUUAUCAACAUUUCUGAAGGUUUAAAACCAAUAAAAAUCAGUUCCCAGUGACUUGUUUUUCUCAAAAUUUUACCCAUCACGCAAUAUCCCGAAAAAAGGCUUCAAAGUGCCUGAUUUUUACCAUCAGUAUAUCCACCCGUCCAUUAUCCUGUGACGUCACAGCGUGAAACCACCAGAAACAAACAUGGCGGAUAGCGCAGAAAAGUAUAGCGAUAGUAGCUCGGAUUUAGAUUUGGAUUUCAGCGGCGUAAGCGAUUCAACAGAUCAUGCAUGUACUGAAACGGAUGGUUGGAGUGUGGAGGCAGGUAGCGAACAUUAAAUUUAAGAAGAAACUGAAGCUAUUGAGCCAUAUCGCUUUGAACAGUAUACAAGCGAAAACCGACGAAAACGACACGACAGACAGCGACACGGGAGGAAGCGAGGACAAAUUCGGCGAUCGCCUUCUAACCAACGAUCGGUAUGUGUUUGUUUGGCAUUAAAUGUGGGUGGAGGGAAAGGCUGGAUGCAGCGCAAAACAAAUAAAAGCCAUAUUACAUACAGAUAGUGUGUCAUGAGAUAUAAAUUGAAUUAAGAGGACUUAAAGGAAACCAAAUUAGCUCAAAUAUAGCUACAAAUGAGGCAUAAGGAUGCAAUAUGUACAUACAGCUAGCCUAAAUAGCAUGUUAGCAUCGAUUAGCUUGCAGUCAUGCCGUGAUCAAAUAUGUCUGAUUAGCACACUCCACAUAAGUCAAUAACAUCAACAAAACUCACCUUUGUGCAUUCAUGCACAACGUUAUGUUUGGUGGACAAAAUGAGACAGAAAAAGAAGUGGCAUAAAUCACGUCUUAGCCAAGACAUCCAGGGGGUUUACGUCGCUCGUCUGCGGGAACAGACUGCCGUCGUCCCUGAAUAGCUCAUGCACACCGGCAGAUUCAGUGGUGGUCUAUUUUCCAAUAUUGCAGACUUUUUUGACUUUAUCGUUGGAAAUGCAUCUGCUUUGAGUGUCGCAGGAUAUCCACACAUUCUUGCCAUCUCUGUCGUAGCAUAGCUGUUGUCGGUAAAGUGUGUGGAACAAACGAGGGACUUGAGCAUCUUUUGGCCACUAGUGCAACUUGAAUCCGUCUCUGUUCGUGUUGUUACACCCUCCGACAACACACCGACGAGGCAUGAUGUGUCCGAGGUACGGGAAAACAGUAGAAAAAACUGAAAAUAACAGAGCUGAUUUGACUUGGUGUGUGUAAUAAGAUUGAGAAAAUGGCGGAUUGCUUCAUGUUGUGACGUCACGGGUGAAAGGUCAUUGCUCCGACAGGCUAUCAAUUGAAAGGUGUUUAAAUCGCCAAAUUCACCCUUUUAGAGUUCGGAAAUCAGUUAAAAAAACAUGUUUUUUUUCUGCAACAUCAAGGUAUAUAUUGACGCUUACAUUGGUCUGGUGAUAAUGUUCCCCUUUAAAAUCACAUCUUAAGUGCACAGGAAGCCAGUGCAGGUGAGCCAGUAUAGGCGUAAUAUGAUCAAACUUUCCUGUUCUUAUCAAAAGUCUAGCAGUUUGUGACUGAUAAAUCUUUCGGUGAAUCAAAAUUUAAGAAAUUGUUCCGGAAAGUUCAUUACUUUAAAGAUGGCCAAUAAAUACGCAAUCAGAAUCAGAAGUACUUUCAUAAUCCUGGAGGGGAAAUUAAGAAUUUUCAGCACAAUCCCACUCAAGAGCAGACAAACAUUACAGGGAGACAGAACAGGAUCGCUGACGGGUCUGCCAACUUCCGGCGCCCCUUUCAAAAAAGGUGAGAAACGGGUAAAUGCUGGGGAGGAGGAGGGAGGAAAAAAAUCAGUCUCUGUCUGGGCCCCUGGAGAGCGGGUCCAGACUGAGGCCAAAGAUAAAAACAAAGUCAUAGCCAUAGCACACAGAAAUAUGUGUGUAAGAGGGAAACAUCAAAGAACACAAAGGACAUUAAACACAUUAAAAGAGUAGUCACUUCUACACACAGCCACCAAAGUAAAACAACAACAACAACAACAACAACAAAACUAUAUACACUGUGGUGACCUCUGCGGUGUUCUCCUGUUGUGGGGGGAGCAUAGCCAGAGACAUAUCCCACAGUAAAACUAGAGGGCAACAUCCGGAACACAAAAGGACGACACAAGAGCACAGAGCUCCUGCCAACAGCAGCCACUACAGUGGCGCCAUCUUGGGGGGAAAAAAAACGGGGACAGAAAUUUGACCCGGUUAUCUUCUCCAAGUCGCGACACUGACAUUGUCUUUGUGACAAUGCGCUUGCUUCUGCUGACGUGCCGGUCCUCAAGUGACGGCGUGAUAAGCGCGGACCGUCACAAUAAACAAAACAAAACACCGGCGGAAAGCGAUAAUCGAUUAAAAAAACAAGCAAGUUGGAGUUACGGAAAUGCACGCACUUUUUGAUUUCAAUGCGUAAAAAGACAUAAAAAGUGUGUUAAUGCCAACACUGGUUAUUAAUGUGAUUAUCAGACAGCAGUCAUUUCCAUUAGACAAUAUUCAAAUAUAGGUGGUAGUGUUGUAACUAUACCAAUAUUUUGGUACUUUUCUAAAUAAAGGGCACCACAGAAAUGGCAUUAUUGGCUUUAUUGUAAUAAAGAAAACUUAGGGUACAUCAAACAUAUGUGUGUUAUUGCAGCUAAGUCCUUAAAUAAAAGAGUGAACCUACUAGACAACUUGUCUUUUAAUAGUAAGUAAACAAACAAAGACUCUUAAUUAGUCUGCUGACGUACGCAGCAAAAUAUUGUGUCAUUUAUACACCUAUUAUUUUGUCAACAUUAUUAAGGACAAACUGUAAAAAUGAAUUAUUAAUCUACUUGUUCAUUUACUGUUAAUAUCUGCUUAUUUUCUCUUUUAACAUGUUCUGUCCACACUUCUGUUGAAAUGUAAUAAUCACUUAUUCUUCUGUUGUUUGAUACUUUACUUUUGUUCUGAUGAUACCACAAAUGUGGGUAUCAAUCCGAUACCAAGUAGUUACAGGAUCAUACAUUGGUCAUAUUCAAAGUCUUCAUGUGUCCAGGAACAUAUUUCCUGUGUUUAUAAAAGUUGACCAAGUUCUCUGGUUUAUGUCCACAACCUACUAUUACAUAAGUGAGAAGCAUGAUUUAUAAUCUAGAAUUAUUCACCAUCUUAUAGGCGAGAAAGCAGCUCAGUAUGUCAAAAUAGCAGCAUAAGCUAGUUACUUCUGUGAUAAAUGCGCCGCUAAAAGUAGGUCCUUAACGUCUGCGCUUAUAAUAACAAUAUCACUAAUACUUGGUUAUUAUUCAGGUCACAAAAUGUAAAUGUAGUAUUGUUGGCAGUUUUUGGAUGGUUAUUUGGAGGACUUUGUGGGUCUAAUAGAGGAGCUCUCAUUGACUCCAAUGUUAGCUGAUUUUUGCUCACGUUUAUUUACUAAUUAGAAUUCAUAACAAUUAAAAACAUAUAUUUUACAUAAGAAUUGUAAAUGAUUGGUGACAUUUUAAAAAAGUGCAGUUUCCUUUGAAUUUUUCAGAUAAGUAAACAGUCCUUCAAAUUAAAGAUGAAAAACAAUUGAGGUUGUGUAUGGAUAUUAUCCACUAUGAAUUUCUCUCAGUCAUCCUACGACGAGCUUCCAUCGGAGUCUUCAAUCAUUCUGGUUCUCCAUACACCCGACCAGCUCCAUAGAGCUUUCAGCUCCCGCAUCUUUCUUCAUGGCAAGUUGCAGUAAAACUAAGGACACAAGGGAAAGUACAUUCAUAUAAACAUGAGGUAAAAACACUGUAUGUGUAAGAAUCAUGUUAACCACCAAAAUAUUGUCUCGUUCUCCUAAAGCCAAUAUCCAGUAUCCUUUGGUGAGCUGACCGUCUCGUCACACCCUUAAUUGAAAGCACACCAACCCCAUGACAUAACACUUCCACAAGAUGUAGAACAUUUUAAACGUACACACACAUUUGAAAAAUAUAAAAAAUAAAUAUAUUUGGUGGGGCAAACAAAAUGACUCUGCGAACCAAUGUUUGGUUUGGGCGAUAUGACCUAGAAUCUAUAUCCUAAUAACUAUAUAAGUCACGAUAUAUCAUUUUGUAUAUGAUUGAUAAUAGAAGAAUAUCAAAGUGGGUUACAAAAGCUCAUAAUUUGGCAGCUGACAUGUGCAGUAACAUAUUGUGUCAUUUCUAAUUGUAUUAUUUUGUCGAAACAAUUACAAACCCCAUUUCCAUUUGAGUUGGGAAAUUGUGUUGGAUGUAAAUAUAAACGGAAUACGAUGAUUUGCAAAUCAUUUUCAACCCAUAAUCAAUUGAAUGCAUUACAAAGACAAGAUAUUUGAUGUUAAAGCUCAAACUUUAUUUUUUUUUUGCAAUUAAUAAUUAACUUAGAAUUUCAUGGCUGCAACACUUGCCAAAGUAGUUGGGAAAGGGCAUAUUCACCACUGUGUUACAUCACCUUUUCUUUUAACAACACUCAAUAAACGUUUGGGAACUGAGGAAACUAAUUGUUGAAGUUUUGAAAGUGGAAUUAUUUCCCGUUCUUGUUUUAUGUAGAGCUUCAGUCAUUCAACAGUCGUAUUUUACGCUUCCUUAUGCACCACACAUUUUCGAUGGGAGACAGGUCUGGCCUGCAGACGGGCCAGUAAGGUACCCACACUCUUUCUUUACGAAGCCAGAUUGUUGUAACACGUGCUGAAUGUGGUUUGGCAUUGUCUUGCUGAAAUAAGCAGGGGCGUCCAUGAAAAAGACAGUGCUUAGAUGGCAGCAUAUGUUGUUCCAAAAGCUCUAUGUACCUUUCAGCAUUAAUGGUGCCUUCACAGAUGUGUAAGUUAACCAUGCCCUGGGCACUAAUGCACCCACCUACCAUCACAGAUGCUGGCUUUUGAACUUUGCGUCGAUAACAGUCAGGAUGGUUCGCUUCCCUUUGGUCCGGAUGACACGAUGUUGAAUAUUUCCAAAAACUAUUUGAAAUGUGGACUCGUCAGACCACAGAACACUUUUCCACUUUGCAUCAGUCCAUCUAAGAUGAUCUCGUGCCCAGAGAAGCGGGGUUGUGUUGUUGAUAAAUGACUUUCGCUUUGCAUAGUAGCGCUUUAACUUGCACUAACAGAUGUAGCAACGAACUGCAUUUAGUGACAGUGGUUUUCUGAAGUGUUCCUGAGACCAUGUGGUAAAAUCCUUUAGAGAUUGAUGUCGGUUUUUGAUACAGUGCCGCCUGAGGGAUCGAAGGUCACGGUCAUUCAAUGUUGGUUUGCGGCCAUGCCGCUUACAUGGAGUGAUUUCUCCAGAUUCUCUGAAUCUUUUGAUGAUAUUAUGGACCGUAGAUGUUGAAAUCCCUAAAUUUCUUGCAAUUGCACUUUGAGAAACGUUGUUCUUAAACUGUUUGACUAUUUGCUCAUGCAGUUGUGGACAAAGGGGUGUACCUCGCCCCAUCCUUUCUUGUGAAAUACUAAGCAUUUUUUGGGAAGCUGUUUUUAUACCCAAUCAUGGCACCCACCUGCUCCCAAUUAGCCUGCACACAUGUGGGAUGUUCCAAAUAAGUGUUUGAUGAGCAUUCCUCGACUUUAUCGGUGUUUAUUGCCACUAAGGCUGCAGCUAACGAUUAUUUUUCUAUCGAUUAAUCUAUGGAUAAUUUUUUCGAUUAAUCUAUAGAUUAAUUAUUAUUCUGCAAUAGUAUAAGCAUUUCAAAAGUAAAAGUAUUGAUUAUUUUGCUUUAAAAUGUGCAAAAAUAAAGAUAAACAUCCAAUACAAAAAAGUGCAAAACGAAAUAUUCUGUAACAACAGUGUAAACAUUUCAACAAAAGUAAAAGUAUUGCUUAUUUUGCUUUAAAAUGUGCAAAAAUAAAGAUAAACAUUCGGCACAAAAAAGUGCAAGUCUAAAUAUUCUGGAGCACUGUAAACAUUAAGUAUUGCUUUUAAAAUUUGCAACAUAAACUUCCAGUCCAACACAGUACACAAUAACCAAUUCUACUCAUUCCAGUGAGUGACUAACAGUUGUAAUGAAGAAACGUUAGCAUAUCUACAUGCUCUGGGGUGAGGCUCCUUCUUUUCUUAUUUACAAUAUUCCCAGCAGCUGAAAAUAGGCGCACAGAAGGGGUCGAUGUGACAGGAACUGAGAGGUAAGACCGAGCCAGCAUUGCCAGAUCUGGAAACCUUGCCUGAUGUUCUUUCCACCAUUUUAAUGGGUUUUCAUCCUUGGAAAUGGGGGAUUCUCCAAAAUAAGACACUAACUCGUUUCUGACCAUUUCAGUAUCAUUACUGUCAUUGUUGUCUUCCUCAUUGUUGCUGAGUUCAUCUGAAUCUGAGCCAAGAAGUGUGUCUAGUAACUACACACAUGAUCUUGUUAAAUUGGUUUAAUAACACAACAAUGAUAGUAUGAUUAAAGUGAAAGUUAAUUGUUUGUUUGUACAUAGCAUAUGUAACUGUUAAUGUUGUAAAAGGUAUUUGCACAACUAAUUAACGCUAGCGUUAAAGGGUAACAUUAUCACAAUUUCAGAAGGGUUAAAACCAAUAAAAAAUCAGUUCCAAGUGUCUUAUAUUAUUAUUCGAAGUUUUUUUUCAAAAUUUUACCCCUCACGCAAUAUCGGCGAAAAACGGCUUUAAAGUGCCUGAUUUUCACCAUCGAUAUAUCCACCCGUCCAUUUUCCCGUGACGUCAUUGCGUAAAGCCAAUACAAACAAAAAUGGCGGAUAGAACAGAAAAGUAUAGCGACAUUUGCUCGGAUUCGGACUUGGAUUUCAGCGGCUUAAGCGAUUCAACAGAUUACGGAUGUAUUGAAACGGAUGGUUGGAGUGCGGAGGCAGAUAGCGAAAACAAAAUUGAAGAAGAAACUGAAGCUAUUGAGCCAUAUACCGACAAACAGCGGCAAUGAGGACAAAUUUGGCGAUCGCCUUCUAACCAACGAUUGCAUCUUUUGACCACUGGUGCAACAUGAAUCCGUCGAUUGGUAUGUAUUUGUUUGGCAUUAAAUGUGGGUGGAGGGAAAGGCUGGAUGCAAAUAUAGCUACAAAUAAGGCCUAAUGAUGCAAUAUGUACAUACAGCUAGCCUAAAUAGCAUGUUAGCAUCGAUUAGCUUCCAGUCAUGCCGUGAGCAAAUAUGUCUGAUUAGCUCACUCCACGUAAGUCAAAUGGUGUUGUUACACCCUCCGACAACACACCGACGAGGCAUAAUGUCUCAAAGGUACGGAAAACAGUCGAAAAAACGGAAAAUAACAGUGCUGAUUUGACUUGGUGUGUGUAAUGUGUUUGAGAAAAUGGCGGCUUGCUUCCCGUUGUAACGUCACGGGUGAAAGGUCAUUGCUCUGACAGCGAACAAUUGAAAGGCGUUUCAAUCGCCAAAUUCACCCUUUUAGAGUUUGGAAAUUGGUUAACAAAACAUAUGGUCUUUUUUCUGCAACAUCAAGGUAUAUAUUGACGCUUACAUAGGUCUGGUGAUAAUGUUCCUGUGGCGGACUUCCUGCGGCCGUCACCGUGUGGCUUGCCGUGACACUGGACACAAGAUGCAUCAUAGCAGCAACAGAUGAGCAGAUUGAGCGCAGGUGUGUGGUGUACGGACCUGACUUGGCUGGCUGGUGGGUCGCUCUGAGUGCGUCCCGCCUCUUCUCUCCGCCGCACGCCCCGCUUCCUGGCCGCCAUCUCGGGUAGGACCGGCAUUUGUCCGACCCUGCUGUCAGCUCCUCGGCGCCGUCUCUCCACAGUUCCUCUCUAAAGUGGAGCGCGUCUUUGUAAACACUGAACAGGCACGCCAAACGCGCCUCUCAGAGCGAAACUGUGAUUUAAUUUAUGAAUUUACAAUGCAGAUACAAAUGACACAUUCAUGUUUUUGUGUAAUGAUGACAACGUAUACUCACGCAGACGUUAGAAUAGUUGAUGGUGAUGGCAAGAACGCUGUCGGGUGUUUUCUUUUCAAAUGUUCCUUCAUAGCCGUUGUGCUGCUAUGAUAGACCACCUCCGCUCGACACAGUGUGCAUACAACAACAUUAGUAGGCCGUUUAUUGAAAUACCCCCACACUUUUGACGACUUUUGGCGUACUUUUUUCCCCUCGCUCGCAUCGUCUGCUUUGCGCUCCGCCAUGACGGUAGUGUGACGUAAAUAUGCGACGCGUCGACGCACAAAAACAACAUUGACGUAUUUACGUCAUCGAUGACGUUGACUACGUCGACGCGUCGUUUCAGCCUUAGUUCAAUCAACAAUACAGUUUGGUGUAAACCUAAAAAAAAACAAUACAACCAUACAGGAAAAAAUUUGGCUUUUGCGCCACUAGCUUAAUGCUAACAUAGAAUGGACGACCACAUUGAUAAGCUAACAGAAAUUAGCAUUGCGAUCGUUUUAAACUUGUACAAAGGUUUGACAAAUAAUAUCUUAGUUUAACAAAAGUGACAUAACACAACAGUCAACAGAUUAAUUGUUCUUCCAUCCAUCCAUCCAUUUUCCAUCCAGGGGUCGCUGGAGCCUAUCUCACCUGCAUUCAGGCAGGAGGUGGUGUACCUCCUGGGCAAGUCGCCACCUCAUCGCAGGCAUUUUUACUUACAUACAGUACAUAUAUUCACCAAACUGUGUAGAAACUAAACCUUGUACUACUAGGCCUUUAUGUCCAUGAAAUCUUAAAACUUUGAUUUAGUAUGGGACAUUAUUGCCACGUCCUCUUGUACCGCAAAAUUGUGAAAAUAAAUGUUUUCCAAUCACAAAGACCCCAAAGGAGGACCCACUGACCCCCUACUUUAAAGAGGAAGAGAAGGACCAAGAGCUGCCACACAUUAAAGAGGAAGAGGAGGAACACUGCAUCAGUCAGCCUAAAUGGUUGGAGGAGUUUCCAGUGACUAGUGUCCCUGUGAAGAGUGAAGAUGAUGAGGUCAAAGGUGAAAGUGAGGAGAAGAGAGAGGCGGAGCCUCCUAGCAGCAGCUCAACACAACACAUGACAACAGAAGCUAAUGGAGACCACUGUGGAGGAUCACAAGCAGACAAGCUCUUAGCUCCACUAUCAGAUAGUGAGGACACAACGUCACACUCUCCUGACACUGAUGAUGAAGACUCUAAAGAUGAUAAGACAUGUCACACUGACAACACUCACUUCACAUGUUCUCACUGUGACAAAACCUUUAAAUACCAUUGUCAUCUGCUAAGACACAUGAAAACACACACUGGAGAAAAACCUUUUUUAUGUUCAAUCUGCAGUAAACAUUUUACUCAAAGGCCCCAUUUGAAAACACACAUGAGAACACACACUGGUGAAAAACCGUUUUCAUGUUCAAUCUGCGGUAAAGAUUUUACUCAAAAGCACAAUUUCAAAGCACACAUGAGAACACACACUGGAGAAAAACCUUUUUUCCUGCUCACAAUGUGGUAAAAGUUUUGUAAUAAAUCAAAGUUUAAAAGUACACAUGAGAACACACACUGGCAAAAAACCCUUUUCAUGUUCAAUCUGCGGUAAAGAUUUUAAUCAAAGAUCCCAUUUCAACGCACACAUGAGAACACACACCGGAGAAAAAACUUUUAUAUGUGCAGUUUGUGGCAAAAGUUAUAUAGAAAGAAACCAAUUAAAAUUACACAUGAGAACGCACUCUGGUGUUCAUACCUUUGCUUUUGAGCACACAUAAAUCCCUCUUAGUUCAUAUUUACUGGUUCACAUCUGAAACAUCUUCUGGACCACUUCUGGAAGCUUACUAUUAUUUACUUUAUACAUCAUUUGAGCAGUUGCCUUUUAUUCCAGAGCACUUACUUUAAAAAUAUGUGACUUUAUGAACCAUUUGUUGGUUGUCUAUAAUCCAUUCUAUUAUUUAUCUUUAUUCCUCUCUUUUGUAAUAUGAUGAUUGUUGUGUGAUUGUUUUAUAUAUGUAUGUCCCCAGACCUUUAUGCAAUAAAAACUAUAUGCUUCAA